rnacentral:rRNA from 1 species
GUGGGGAAUAUUCCGCAAUGGACGAAAGUCUGACGGAGCAACGCCGCGUGAGUGAUGAAGGUUUUCGGACUGUAAAGCUCUGUUGUUUAGGACGAAAGUGCCUGUUGCAAACAGUUACAGGUAUUGACGGUACUAAACGAGGAAGCCACGGCUAACUACGUGCCAGCAGCCGCGGUAAUACGUAGGUGGCAAGCGUUGUCCGGAAUUAUUGGGCGUACAGAGCAUGUAGGCGGGAAUCUAAGUCUGUUGUGAAAAUGCGGGGCUCAACCCCGUAUUGCGAUGGAAACUGGGUUUCUUGAGUGCAGGAGAGGAAAGGGGAAUUCCCAGUGUAGCGGUGAAAUGCGUAGAUAUUGGGAGGAACACCAGUGGCGAAGGCGCCUUUCUGGACUGUGUCUGACGCUGAGAUGCGAAAGCCAGGGUAGCGAACGGGAUUAGAAACCCUGGUAGUCC